UACGAUUGAUAUUAUGGGCCUUAAUGUA
rnacentral:sRNA from 1 species